CAAUAGCGUAUAUUAGAGUUGUUGCAGUUAAAAAGCUCGUAGUUGGAUUUGUGGUGUACUUCGGCGGCCCGUCACUAUGUGAUGGAGCUUGCUGAAGUCGCCAUCCUUGGGUGGAUCCUGUGUGGCAUUAAGUUGUCGUGCAGGGGAUGCCCAUCGUUUACUGUGAAAAAAUUAGAGUGUUCAAAGCAGGCUUAUGCCGUUGAAUAUAUUAGCAUGGAAUAAUAAGAUAGGACCUUGGUACUAUUUUGUUGGUUUGCGCACCAAGGUAAUGAUUAAUAGGGACAGUUGGGGGUAUUCGUAUUUCAUUGUCAGAGGUGAAAUUCUUGGAUUUUUGAAAGACGAACUACUGCGAAAGCAUUUACCAAGGAUGUUUUCAUUAA
rnacentral:rRNA from 1 species